CCAUUCCACGCAUGCGGUGGUGGUGGAAAGCUUUUGCGGUUUUGGAUGGACUCGCGGCCUAUCAGCUUGUUGGUGGGGUAAUGGCCUACCAAGGCGACGACGGGUAGCCGGCCUGAGAGGGUGACCGGCCACACUGGGACUGAGACACGGCCCAGACUCCUACGGGAGGCAGCAGUGGGGAAUAUUGCACAAUGGGCGAAAGCCUGAUGCAGCGACGCCGCGUGAGGGAUGACGGCCUUCGGGUUGUAAACCUCUUUCAGUAGGGAAGAAGCGAAAGUGACGGUACCUGCAGAAGAAGCGCCGGCUAACUACGUGCCAGCAGCCGCGGUAAUACGUAGGGCGCAAGCGUUAUCCGGAAUUAUUGGGCGUAAAGAGCUCGUAGGCGGUUUGUCGCGUCUGCUGUGAAAGACCGGGGCUCAACUCCGGUUCUGCAGUGGGUACGGGCAGACUAGAGUGAUGUAGGGGAGACUGGAAUUCCUGGUGUAGCGGUGAAAUGCGCAGAUAUCAGGAGGAACACCGAUGGCGAAGGCAGGUCUCUGGGCAUUAACUGACGCUGAGGAGCGAAAGCAUGGGGAGCGAACAGGAUUAGAUACCCUGGUAGUCCAUGCCGUAAACGUUGGGCACUAGGUGUGGGGGACAUUCCACGUUUUCCGCGCCGUAGCUAACGCAUUAAGUGCCCCGCCUGGGGAGUACGGCCGCAAGGUAACGAG
rnacentral:rRNA from 1 species